rnacentral:rRNA from 1 species
UAAUAAAAAAUUCAAAAUGGGUUUGGUGCUGGCUCAGCAGUAAUGCGUCUUUUUAGAAUUUAUACAUGCGAGUGAAAUAGAGUAACGUACGGGUGCGUAAUGCGCGAGUCUUU